rnacentral:rRNA from 1 species
AGUGAACGCUGGCGGCAGGCCUAACACAUGCAAGUCGAACGGCAGCACAGUAAGAGCUUGCUCUUACGGGUGGCGAGUGCCGGACGGGUGAGGACUACAUCGGAAUCUACUUUUUCGCGGGGGAUAACGAAGGGAAACUUACGCUAAUACCGCAUACGACCUACGGGUGAAAGCAGGGGAUCUUCGGACCUUGCGCGAUUGAAUGAGCCGAGGUCGGAUUAGCUAGUUGGGGGGGCCAAGGCCCACCAAGGCGACGAUCCGUAGCUGGUCUGAGAGGAUGAUUGGCCACACUGGAACUGAGACACAGUCCAGACUCCUACACGAGGCAGCAGUGGGGAAUAUUGGAGGAUGGGCGCGAGCCUGAUCCAGCCAUACCGCGUGAGUGAAGAAGGCGUGCCGGUUGGAAAGCCCUUAUGUUAGGAGAGAAAAGCAGCAGGUUAAUACCCCGCUGUUCUGACGGUACCCUAAGAAUAAGCACCGGCUAACUUCGUG